AUUGAACGCUAACGGCGUGCUUAACACAUGCAAGUCGAGCGGCGGCAUGACUGUAGCAAUACAGUUGAUGGCGAGCGGCGGACGGGUGAGUAAUGCAUAGGAAUCUGCCUUGUAGUGGGGGAUAACCCGGGGAAACUCGGGCUAAUACCGCAUAAUCGCCACGGAGCAAAGUGGGGGACCUUCGGGCCCUACGCUAAAAGAUGAGCCUAUGUUGGAUUAGCUAGUUGGUAGGGUAAAAGCCUACCAAGGCAACGAUCCAUAGCUGGUCUGAGAGGAUGAUCAGCCACACUGGGACUGAGACACGGCCCAGACUCCUACGGGAGGCAGCAGUGGGGAAUAUUGGACAAUGGGCGAAAGCCUGAUCCAGCAACGCCGUGUGUGUGAAGAAGGCCUUCGGGUUGUAAAGCACUUUUAGUGGGAAAGAAAAGUUCAUGGCUAAUAUCCAUGAAUGCUGACGUUACCCACAGAAAAAGCACUGGCUAACUCUGUGCCAGCCGCCGCAGUAA
rnacentral:rRNA from 1 species